rnacentral:rRNA from 1 species
AGAGUUUGAUCAUGGCUCAGAUUGAACGCUGGCGGCAGGCUUAACACAUGCAAGUCGAACGGUAACAGGAAGAAAGCUUGCUUUCUUUGCUGACGAGUGGCGGACGGGUGAGUAAUGCUUGGGUAUCUGGCUUAUGGAGGGGGAUAACUACGGGAAACUGUAGCUAAUACCGCGUAGUAUCGGAAGAUGAAAGUGUGGGACCGCAAGGCCACAUGCCAUAGGAUGAGCCCAAGUGGGAUUAGGUAGUUGGUGAGGUAAUGGCUCACCAAGCCGACGAUCUCUAGCUGGUCUGAGAGGAUGACCAGCCACACCGGGACUGAGACACGGCCCGG